CAACUAUCGAUGGAGAACUGGUUCCAGUCGUCGGGACUCGGGCCGGAAACUCGGGUUAUUUAGUACGUUAUCGGUCUCGUGGUAGAAGGAACGUAAGAAAUCCAAAUAGUCCUGUGAAUGGUUCUGUAUAUAGCUGGAUCUCGAUUAAUUGAAUUUUGUAAUCUGGUGUGGUAGGAUACUGUUCCACCGAUCUUCAACAUGAACGCUAAACUCGGCAAUAUGAAGAAAACGGCGAACGGUCAUGCCCAUGGAGAAAGAGGCCAGGUAAUUUCGGUUAGUCAAGAGGUUCUCAGGCAGGACUAAGUGGGGAAACCAGAAUCAGCCAUAUAAUGCCCCUGUGCAUAGUACUGCGUUGUUUUUGAAUUGAGGCAAGCAUCGUUACUACUUCAAUGGUGUUCAGUGAAGGAAUGGAUAUGAAGAUUAUUCUUAGCUUUUAAUUAAAAUGUUGUACUUUGUAAAUAAAUUUAAAUUGAC